rnacentral:lncRNA from 1 species
GGAUGACAAGCUUUCAUCUUAUGCUUGGAGCUUAGCUUGUAUUCGGAGUCGAAAGAGCCAGCACUUCAAUCAACAGUUGGAUGUCCCGCAUGAACAGCCAUCUCAAGGUUCAUGGGGCACAGAGGAAAAUCUGCAUAGACGUCGCAGUGGCUCAGUGAUUAUGGUGUUCUGCAUCAGAACAAGAGGUCGCGGGUUUGACUCCCGACCGCGUUCCCAUAGGGCGAAACGCAGAAAUGUGGAUGCCAAGCACAGUGGUGAAACAGCUGUGCCCAAUUGGGCCAAAUUGCACCAAGAACGGUCCUUUGGGCCAUCCUGCUCCAAAACGACACUUUCU